rnacentral:rRNA from 1 species
GACGAACCGUGCGAACGUUGUUCGGAAUCACUGGGCUUAAAGGGCGCGUAGGCGGGCCGCCAGGUCGGGGGUGAAAUGCCGCAGCUUAACUGUGGAAGUGCCCCCGAUACCGGCGGCCUCGAGGGGGAUAGGGGCGUGUGGAACUUCCGGUGGAGCGGUGAAAUGCGCAGAUAUCAGGAGGAACACCGAUGGCGAAGGCAGGUCUCUGGGCCACUACUGACGCUGAGAAGCGAAAGCAUGGGGAGCGAACAGG